rnacentral:rRNA from 1 species
UACGUAGGCAGCGAGCGUUGUUCGGAUUUACUGGGCGUAAAGCGUGCGUAGGCGGUGGUCCAAGUCUGGUGUGAAAUCUCCCGGCUUAACUGGGAGGGUGCGCCGGAAACUGGGCCGCUGGAGUACGGGAGAGGCAAGCGGAAUUCCAGGUGUAGCGGUGAAAUGCGUAGAUAUCAGGAAGAACACCCGUGGCGAAGGCGGCUCUCUGGAACGCAACUGACGCUGAGACGCGAAAGCGUGGGGAGCAAACAGG